ACGUUGUAUUUCCUCCUUCAGGGGCGGGGUUCCGGGAGGUCCCGAAGGCAGUGGCGAUGCUCUGGGACGCUGUCCGCCGAGCGAGCGGCGUUGCACGGUAUUUCACGAGUGACACGCUUAUCCCUUAAGAGGUUCCACCGCUGAACUGUGAAACCAGACAAACCACCCAGGCCAGUGAGGCCCCGAGGGAACUUAUGGGUCACGUGAGCUCCCAUCACCAUCUGGUGUGUCUCCGCCUCUUGGAUUUUAAGAUGUAUGGAAAGUGCAGGCCUCCAGGAGUUCUGUGGGACAGAGAAGAGAAGUAGGACAGUCAAAAAUCUACCUAUAUUUAUUUUCUGUUGAAUGAAUGAAUAGUUAAGCCUGAUAAUAAAAGCACUCAGACCCAUUGGGGUCUGAUGGGUGGACCAGGCCCUUCUCUCAGUGGCCUUCUCCACUUGCCUGUACA